rnacentral:rRNA from 1 species
CGGGCCUUGCGCUAUCAGAUGAGCCUAGGUCGGAUUAGCUAGUUGGUGAGGUAAUGGCUCACCAAGGCGACGAUCCGUAACUGGUCUGAGAGGAUGAUCAGUCACACUGGAACUGAGACACGGUCCAGACUCCUACGGGAGGCAGCAGUGGGGAAUAUUGGACAAUGGGCGAAAGCCUGAUCCAGCCAUGCCGCGUGUGUGAAGAAGGUCUUCGGAUUGUAAAGCAAAGGAGUGGGAGGAAGGGCAGUUACCUAA